CCGCGGUAAUACAGAGACUGCAAGCGUUAUUCGGAUUCACUGGGCGUAAAGGGUGCGCAGGCGGCCGUGUGUGUUAGGUGUGAAAGCCCGAGGCUUAACCUCGGAAUUGCGCCUAAAACUACACGGCUAGAGCAUUGGAGAGGGUAGCAGAAUUCAUGGUGUAGCAGUGAAAUGCGUAGAUAUCAUGAGGAAUACCAGAGGCGAAGGCGGCUACCUGGACAAUUGCUGACGCUCAGGCACGAAAGCGUGG
rnacentral:rRNA from 1 species